CCUGUGACCCCGAGGUGCUGACCAAGGACCUCGCAUGUGUCUGGCAGCAUGCUGGGCCUCACAGGAGGAAAGGGGGCCCUGGGCCCUUCAUGUACAUUGCUGCAAGGUGGGCGCUGUCAUGUGACGGGGAGUGUGGAGGCCUCGGGUGGCCCACAAUAGGCAGUGGGAGGACAAGGCCAGGGCCCAGCGCCUGCAAUUCUCCAUCACACCCUGUGUGCUGAGCAGCCAUCCUUCACCCUCAGGCUCCUCCUCGUGGGGGCACAGGGGACCCUGGCUCGGGGAGUCCAUCACUUGCACAGGUGUCACAGGCAUAGAAGUCCAAACUCAAUGGAUGCCCUUGCCUCCAGCUCCCAGCUGAACAUCCUGGCUGAAAGGGGCUGACCGCCCUGACUUUCCUCUGAGGUAGGUGAGCUCUGGGGGCUCCAUGAGGGAGGUGGCUGUGUCCAGGCCACACAUCCCUCUCCACCAAAGCGUCUGCCCUGAUGACAUCACCUCACACCGCCAAGCCAUUACUCACAGAAUUACGGCUUGUCUGGAAGUUGGAUGAGAUGUAUACAAUGCACCAGGAUGACAAAUCCUCCCUUUGAGUGGGUCAUUUCCCGAAGGAGAUUCCAAGGAUUCACAGAUCAGCGUAUCCUGGCAUUGCAGGCAGUGGAAGCCGAGGCCCCUGAGAUGUGUCUGGGUCUAGUCUCGCUGUGCUAAUGAGGCCCCAGGGCCAGAGUGGACACUGACGUCCCUGUGGGGCAGUGCCACAUGAUCACAUCCAUGUAGUGAAGAGGCAUUCUGGACUUUGUCCCUAACUCCUGGUGGUGAACCAUCUUUGGAACCUGAUCCCUGGGCCCAGACUCCCUGGUGGGUCUGACCUCUAGCCCACAGCACAGCAGGUUGCAGAUCUCAUUGUCCAGAAACAGCCACAGCAAUAUUUCUGUGUUCCUCCAGGAUCUGGCCACCACUCAUUGAGAGGCAGAGUCUAUUUCUCCUCUCCUUGAAACCAGGGGUGCCUUCACAACUGCUGAGAUGAAGAGGAGAGAGGGUUUUAGGUGACUUCCGAUGAUGGGUCACAGACAGUAACGUGACUCUGGCCACCACAUUGUAAGGAAGCCCAGCGUUGCAUGAGGGGAGCUCAGUGUUGCCAGCCCCAGCCCGCAAGCCGCCUGCCCUAAAUGAGACAGAGCUGAGCAGAGACAAGCUACUGCACGGAGCGCUGCCCGGAUUGCAGACUCAGGAGCAAGGCAAAUGAUGGUGUUGCUUUAGGACACUCAGCUUGGGGGUGGCUUCUCAUUCAGCGCUAGACAGGGAGAACACACCCUAGGUGAUUCCCCGGCCUUCCCUGGGACUUCUGUGUCUGCAGAUCCCUGGUGCAGAUCCCAGGCAGGCA
rnacentral:lncRNA from 1 species